GGCUGGUCGGAAGGUAGUGAGUUAUCUCAAUUGAUUGUUCACAGUCACAGAUCAAACUCCUUGUUCUAUUCCCCCCACUUCUCACUGCUGCGCUUGACUAGUGUGAA
ensembl:misc_RNA Y_RNA Y RNA